rnacentral:lncRNA from 1 species
CUUCAUAGUAAUUCGGUAUUCAUAGAAUGCAUAAGAACGAGGGCAAACUCAUUUUUAAACGAUCUUGACAAGGAUGGGAAAGACCUGGGAGCAAGCCUGAUCCUGAUUGUAAUUGCACUGAGAAGGGGCAAUACAGGAAGUGACGCGCAGGAUGUGAACCUCCCUAUCAGCCUGGAAGAGCAGCAGCAAGGAGCAUCAGGAGUGACUCGGAAUCAGCUCCGCGAGGGGCUGAGGGUGCUGCCGCCAGUCAUCAGGCUCUCAGAGACCUCUUUCCAGCUCUGCACCGAGCAGUUCUUUUUAUCUGGAGUCUUGUUAAGCAUCUUCUCACUCCACCCAAGGAGCCAAAGAAUAAUUCCUGUGGCAUUCUGCAUUCCUCCAUUUAGUCCCUCUUGGAAAUCCACCACCAAGCUUGGGGACUUCACCCCAGUGAAAUUGUAAGCCUUGUUAGGUUUUCAUUUAAGACUCUUGCUAUAGCAUGGGUAGCUGUGAUUGCUGAGUCAACUGUCUAUGGCUACCAGUUUCACCAAGAUUGUAACAGCAUUUUUAUUUUCCAUGCAACAAAAAAAGCUUUGUUAGUAAAAUCUUAGGAUGGGGAACACGUGUACACCUGUGGCAGAUUCAUGUUGAUGUAUGGCAAAACCAAUACAAUAUUGUAAAGUAAUUAGCCUCCAAUUAAAAUAAAUAAAUUUAAAUUAAAUU